rnacentral:misc_RNA from 1 species
GAUGAAGAACGUAGCGAAAUGCGAUACUUGGUGUGAAUUGCAGAUUCCCGUGAACCAUCGAGUCUUUGAACGCAAGUUGCGCCCGAAGCCAUUAGGCCGAGGGCACGCCUGCCUGGGCGUCACACGUCGUUGCCCCCCCAUCUACUCCUUCGGGAUUGCGGGGGGCGGAUGAUGGCCUCCCGUGCGCCUCGCCGCGCGGUUGGCAUAAAUGCCAAGUCCUCGGCGACGCACGCCACGACAAUCGGUGGUUGCGAAACCUCGGUUGCCCGUCGUGUGCGGUCGUCGCGCAUCGAGGGCUCGAAAAAAUUGCCGGGUUCCGGCUCGGCUUUCAACGCGACCCCAGGUCAGGCGGGGUUACCCGCUGAAUUUAAGCAUAUCAAUAAGCGGAGGA